AGAGAGAGAGAGUCAAAAACAGCAGGUUAGCACAAACUCCCCCUGACCUGUGGGAGCUGUUUCCGGAUAGGUUGCUAGGAAGGUUGUUAGGGGGCCGGACAUCUGCUCAUCCUCUUGACCAUACAGGUCACACAAUACUUGCAGUCUCCCUCAAGCAGUGGUAGAGAACAACAUCUUUGUCUCUGCCCAUCAACAACUGGACCCACUCAUAUCGUUGGACUUCUAGGAUGGUGUGCAUGCCCAAAGCGAAGUACUAUGAAGAAACCACUGAUCUCGACAACCAUUCAGGGUGUCUUCGCUAGACAGACAGAGGGGAGGGGAGGUGUCCCAUCCACCGGAACCAGUGAGUUCAGAUCACUCUGAUUCUUUGUGCUCUGAGUCGGAGGGAGACCAGCUUGAGGAGCUAGGGGUUCUGCCUAACACCCAGACCUGGAUACACCUGAUGUCCUCCAUUACCAACUACAUAACAUCAGAUGCUGUUGUCAUUAUCUGUCAAGUUCUUGCUUUAUCAUAAUGUGAGACCCAGAUAAAAAAACUAAUUUGCAUAUGAAUGGAGACUUACUUACUUCGUAAAGCCAGUGGUUCCUGGUCUCCUGGCUGACGAUGUCCCGCACAACACUCCACCUCUCCUGGACAUCGAGGAAGCCCAAAAAUAGUGUACAACACCCCAGUUAGCAUGCACAAUCACGUCUCCUCCCCUUCGACAUGACCGGUCUACUAACUAUUGGUCCUGGCAACCCAUCUUCACGCACACCUGCAUCUCAUCAGUCAUAACUGGACCUCAUUGCUCCCUGCUUAUUUACCCUUCUAAUAGCACUCUUUUGUUACUAGUUUUCAAGUGUGUUUGUUUCUGUGUGAUGCUUCUCUUGUUUUGCAUCAUUCCAGGUUCAUUGAUACUAAACUCACUAACUGCACCUGCUUCCUGCGUCUACUUUACACCUUAUGUUGCGUUUUAUAUUUUUUGUUCAGUGUACAUUCCCAUACUCAUCUUCCUUGAGUGUUUAAAUAAAGUU